CUUUUUUAUUAGCUUAAGAGACUGAUAAAACUCAAAUAUUUGGUGUUGUCUAUCAGCUUCAUCUCUUGUAUCCCACGAGUCCGGAGUUAAAUAACAGCACAACAUUC